CAAGUAUGAUGGAGCAACGCCGCGUGGGUGAAGAAGGCUUUCGGGUCGUAAAACUCUGUUGUUGGAGAAGAAUGGUCGGCAGAGUAACUGUUGUCGGCGUGACGGUAUCCAACCAGAAAGCCACGGCUAACUACGUGCCAGCAGCCGCGGUAAUACGUAGGUGACAAGCGUUAUCCGGAUUUAUUGGGCGUAAAGCGAGCGCAGGCGGUUUUUUAAGUCUGAUGUGAAAGCCCUCGGCUUAACCGAGGAAGUGCAUCGGAAACUGGGAAACUUGAGUGCAGAAGAGGACAGUGGAACUCCAUGUGUAGCGGUGAAAUGCGUAGAUAUAUGGAAGAACACCAGUGGCGAAGGCGGCUGUCUGGUCUGUAACUGACGCUGAGGCUCGAAAGCAUGGGUAGCGAACAGGAUUAGAUACCCUGGUAGUCCAUGCCGUAAACGAUGAAUGCUAGGUGUUGGAGGGUUUCCGCCCUUCAGUGCUGCAGCUAACGCAUUAAGCAUUCCGCCUGGGGAGUACGACCGCAAGGUUGAAACUCAAAGGAAUUGACGGGGGCCCGCACAAGCGGUGGAGCAUGUGGUUUAAUUCGAAGCAACGCGAAGAACCUUACCAGGUCUUGACAUCUUUUGAUCACCUGAGAGAUCAGGUUUCCC
rnacentral:rRNA from 2 species